rnacentral:lncRNA from 1 species
AGUAAUCUUGCUGUCUCUAUUUCAAAAAACAUACUAUUUUAUACUUUUGUUUUUAUUUUAAUAGAUGUAAAUUGGUAAUAUUGGUGGAGGACCAAGAAAGAGCAUUUUCAAGCACCUUCCAUGUGAGAGACUGCUGGAGAGAACUGAUUUACUGAGACAACAUGGCAUUUAAGCUGAAAAAAGAGGAGGAUGUGGAGUCAUUGCAAGAAGGAGCGACAAAACAGUGCAGUGAGACAGAGAUGAGAAUGAGAAUCUGCCAAGCACUAGGAAACA